rnacentral:rRNA from 1 species
AUUGACCGCUGGCGGCAGGCUUACCACAUGCAAGUCGAACGCGCGGCGGCGGGGUGAGUAAUGCUUGGGAAUCUUGCUUAUCGAGGGGGAUAACUACGGGAAACUGUAGCUACUACCGCGUACCAUAGGAUGAGCCCAAGUGGGAUUAGGUAGUUGGUGAGGUAAAGGCUCACCAAGCCGACGAUCUCUAGCUGGUCUGAGAGGAUGACCGGCCACACUGGUACUGCGACACGGCCCAGAUUCCUACGGGAGGCAGCAGUGGGGAAUAUUGCGCAAUGGGGGUAACUUGACGCAGCCAUGCCGCGUGAAUGAAGAAGGCCUUCGGGUCGUAAAGUUCUGUUGUUAGCGAGGCGGGAACUAUACAGGAAGCACCGGCUAACCCCGUGCCAGCAGCCGCGGUAAUAC